AUUUACUCAUUAUAUUUUGAUAAAGAAUUUUUUUUAAAAAUAAUUAUUAAAAAUAAAAAACAUAAGUAAAAAUAGAAAUUAAUUUUUUUAAAAAAAAAAACAGACAAGUAAAGUGGAAAUGAGGGAGUAUAGAAAGCUCACCUCACCAUCAAAGAAUGUUCCUCCCUUAAUUAGAGAUCUCAGGUUCGAGCUUAGGUAUGAAAUUUUUUUCGUAGGAAGCGUUACUUCUGAAUGGAGCCCUACCCAAGACAAAUUUAAAUUAAUCGGACUCUAAUACAUACCGAACAUUCGAUAAAAAACCAAAAAAAUAAAAUAAAAUAAACACCUCACCUCACUUACCUAUAUAUAGUGACGUGCAGAAGUGUAUUAUGUUUUCUCCCUGGAACCGUAACUUACAUGGAAACCCACAAGAGGAAAGGCUUAUUGAUAUUUCAGAUAUUUUUUUCCAUGAAUCUGUUAUUCCACUGGCUAUUUGACAAAUACAAUGACAAUUGCUAGAGGAAAUUCAGGGUCACUCUCUGUUGUGGAAGGUCAGACUUCUCAUUAACUCUUCUGUUUUUCUUCAUUCGAGCCAUCUGCAUGGGCAUAAUGCAUGUAUUAAUUUUACUAAGUUAGGAAAACAUGAAAGGGGUAAAAUUGGAGAGCAGAUUUUAUGAAGUAAUAUUUACAUUGUUCUCCAGUUGUUUCUUUUCCUCUAGCAGCAGUUUUUCCUGCAAUAAGGAGUAUCAUGUGCAGUCUCUCUUGAAAAUUUAACAUGAUAUCAAUUCAUACUAAAAUAAUUAAAGAUAUCUGAUGAGAGCUAUUGAUUAAAAAGAGCUACAUAGAGCAGUAGAAAGCAGGGAUGCCUAUUAAAUCCGUCCAGAUUUGAAGGAGCAAAGACUAUUGUAUGAGAUUUGAUCAACAGAGAAGCUAGAAUAUAUGUCUGGUAGUCAAUUAAGUCUUAACAUACUUCUAGACCAGCCUAUCAAGAAACUCGGUUUUCCAAUAUUAUUGAAUAACAUGGCCUGGGGCUAAGAUAACUCAAAUGGGAGAGCCGUGUUAUGGGUGACCUUAUUGCACGGUUCAGAGAGCACUUCUGUAUGUAAUGCAAGUGAACGUCUAUGACAAAGCUGUCGUAAAGUUUCGUUCUUCAUUCCGUUGUCAACUCUAUGUUUCUAUGAUGGCCCAAGAACAAAUGGAUGUUUUGUGCCUUCUUAUACUCCUUCCAACAAUAAGGUAACUGACUAUCUUAAGCUUACGCAACUUGGGACGUUAGCAUGCAAGCACUACUGACCUAAGUUGCUCGGAUUCUCCAAAAAUGUUGCCGCACCCGUGUCGGAUCC